AACAGAAGUUAAUAGCACGAUACAGAGUAUAUCGAUCCAAGAUGAAGAUUUUGACCAUUUUCUGCUGCAUAAUUCUUAUUUUACCUCUAUUCUUGUGUAUGCCGACGGACGUGACAACAGAACUGAAUGAAGUAACUUCAGUUACUGAAGGGAGAGAUGUAGAAAUUAUAGAAGACCUUACAGAAUAUGUCAUGCAUAUUUGCAACAUUUCUUCAAAUCCUCUUUGUAUGAUCAUACAAACAUAACUAGCUAUUAAGUAAAUACUAAGAAUAAUGUAAAAGCA